rnacentral:rRNA from 1 species
UACGUAGGGUGCGAGCGUUACUCGGAAUUACUGGGCGUAAAGCGUGCGCAGGCGGUUUUGUAAGCCAGAUGUGAAAUCCCCGGGCUUAACCUGGGAAUGGCAUUUGGGACUGCAAGGCUGGAGUACGGCAGAGGAGACUGGAAUUCCUGGUGUAGCAGUGAAAUGCGUAGAGAUCAGGAGGAAUACCGAUGGCGAAGGCAGGUCUCUGGGCUGAUACUGUCGCUCAUGCACGAAAGCGUGGGGAGCAAACAGG